rnacentral:rRNA from 1 species
CAAUAGCGUAUAUUUAAGUUGUUGCAGUUAAAAGGCUCGUAGUUGGAUUUCGGGUGGGACGCAGCGGUCUCGCAUUGCGUUUGUACUGCUGCAGCCCUCCUUCUUGCCGGGGGCGGCCUCUCGGACUUCACUGUCUGGGGGUCAGAAUCGGCGAUGUUACUUUGAGUAAAUUAGAGUGUUCAAAGCAAGCUUACGCUCUGAAUAUAAUAGCAUGGGAUAACACGACAGGACUCUGGCCUAUCGUGUUGGUCUAUAGGACCAGAGUAAUGAUUAAGAGGGACAGUCGGGGGCAUUCGUAUUCCGUUGUCAGAGGUGAAAUUCUUGGAUUUACGGAAGACGAACAUCUGCGAAAGCAUUUGCCAAGGAUGUUUNCAUUG